rnacentral:tRNA from 1 species
GGGCUCAUAGCGCAGUUGGGAGCGCACCACAAUGGCAUUGUGGGGGUCGGGGGUUCGAAUCCCCCUGGGUCCA